GACAGGCUUUUCAAAUGAGUCUAACUCAUAGCUAAUUUCUGCUUAUUCACUCAGGGCUUCUUCUGAGUGAAUGAAAGAACAAAGUUCCUGAGGUUAGCUUUAUACACCUUUCCAAACCACUCAGAAAUGAAAGCAAAGAUAGCCAGAGCACUGAUCUUUUUUUCUACCAUAUUAGGAAGGAAAGAAGGAAGGAAAAAAGGAAGGGAGGAAGGAAGGAAGGAAGAAAGGAAGGGAGGAAGGAAGUGUGAUAUGCUAUAACCCAUACAUAACCCACUAGCCUGGCUCUGUGGUGAUGUAUUUCUUCAUUGUGUAGACAACUUAAUGCAAAGUCAAUCUGUUUCUAUGUACUUUUAAAUGGUAACACCGCAAUGUUCUACAGGUCAUAAUUUUUUUAUCACUACAUGUUUA
rnacentral:lncRNA from 1 species